GGGAGGAGGUGGGGGCCGGCCGGCACCGGCACCGGGAACGAGGAGAAGGUGGGGGCCGAGCCACAACAAUCCCUCAAAAUCCCGUAAAAAAGAAACAAUCCCUAAAAAAAGGCAGCGCACAACAUCCUCUCGGUCUCUCCCCAUCUCGGCCGCUGACCAGGGAGGGGGGAGGGGGGGCACCACCGGCCACCAUAGCGACCUGCCCUCCGAGCAGCAGCCGCCGCCCGCCGGGAUCUGGCGUCGGCUUAAGUUGUCACUCGCCCUCGCGGUUCUUGCAUCGCGCAGCCAGGGGCCACCCCCCUGCCCUGCUCCCUCCCCCUAGCGAUCGGCGACGACUGCCUGUGCGGCCGCGCCGUUAUGUUGCCGGCCAACUGCCCUGCGUCUCUACUCCUCCAAGGCUCCAACACCCCUUCGCUGACCCCCUGCCUGCCGGGCUGCCGGACAGAAUUUUGCUGAGGCCAACCACAUCACAAACGGCACACAGGUGUCGAUGGAGGAACAGGUGGUAAUGUAAUUCUUGGUUUCUCAAGAUCUGUCUGGGAUUUCAGUAACUUGCAACAUCACACGGAGCUCACCUCGGCUGGUGCGACGGACAUGGCGAGUGGAGCGCAGAGGCAACGACGGCCGUAGCGCAGCGUCGCCGGGAGGACGGCCUUGAGGUGCUUUGCACCGCUGAGCCCGUCCCGGCUGCCGUCGUUUCCCCAACGUAUACAGGUUCUCUUCCACGACUGAUGAACGUGCCCACAAUGGAUCGGCCAGAGAGAGAAGAAAGAGACCUAUGCAGGGCGUCAAUGGGGUAGUGCGAGCAGCCUUGCUUUGAAGUGGCCAUUUAUAAUACUUCCCUUCCGCUGAACUCGGGAAUUUCUUCCUGCAUGUGACGCGCGGCCUUAACUGCCCUGCAAUCUCGGCGAUUACCUUCCCUACAUAGGGCAAUCGGAGCGAUUAUCUUCCCUACAUAAACAUGAUUGCUUCCAUCUGAUUUGUUUACUGAUCAGGAGCAAGAAAAUCGCCAGAGAUAUCACUCCGUUUUAUUGUAUCGUAUACCCUUGC